UACGUAGGGUGCGAGCGUUGUCCGGAUUUAUUGGGCGUAAAGAGCUCGUAGGCGGCUUGUUGCGUCGACUGUGAAAUCCCGCGGCUUAACUGCGGGCUUGCAGUUGAUACGGGCAGGCUGGAGUUCGGUAGGGGAGACUGGAAUUCCUGGUGUAGCGGUGAAAUGCGCAGAUAUCAGGAGGAACACCGGUGGCGAAGGCGGGUCUCUGGGCCGAUACUGACGCUGAGGAGCGAAAGCCAGGGGAGCAAACGGG
rnacentral:rRNA from 1 species